CGGAGGGUGCAAGCGUUAUCCGGAUUCACUGGGUUUAAAGGGUGCGUAGGCGGAAUGGAAAGUCCGUUGUGAAAUCUCUGAGCUUAACUCGGAAAUUGCGGUGGAUACUAUCAUUCUUGAAUACUGUGGAGGUUAGCGGAAUAUGUCAUGUAGCGGUGAAAUGCAUAGAUAUGACAUAGAACACCAAUUGCGAAGGCAGCUGGCUAUACAGAUAUUGACGCUGAGGCACGAAAGCGUGGGGAUCAAACAGGAUUAGAUACCCUGGUAGUCCACGCCCUAAACGAUGAUUACUCGACAUUUGCGAUACACAGCAAGUGUCUGAGCGAAAGCAUUAAGUAAUCCACCUGGGUAGUACGACCGCAAGGUUG
rnacentral:rRNA from 1 species